rnacentral:rRNA from 1 species
GGAGUAAUCCAGGUCGGUUUCUAUCUAUUGUGUAUUUCUCCCAGUACGAAAGGACCAGAGAAAUAAGGCCAACUUUAAUCAAGCGCCUUAAAUUAACUAAUGAUUUCAUCUUAAUUAGAUACACAAACAUAUCCCGCCCUA